AUGGAUUCUCCGGCGGAAGAGAACCAGACUGCAGUGUCAGAGUUCAUUUUAUUGGGUUUAACAGAUAAUUCAAUUCUCCGUGUCAUCCUCUUCAUGGUAUUCCUAUGCAUCUAUUUGGUGACCUUAUUUGGCAAUCUCAGCACAAUCAUUCUUAUCAGAAUCUCUUCCCAACUCCAUCAUCCUAUGUAUUUUUUCCUGAGUCAUUUGGCUUUUUCGGACAUUGGUUAUUCAUCUUCUGUCACACCCAAUAUGCUUGUAAACUUUCUAGUGGAGACACAUACAAUCUCCUAUCUUGGAUGUGCCAUCCAGCUUGGUUCAGUUGUUUUCUUUGGGUCAGCUGAGUGCUUUCUUCUGGCUGCCAUGGCUUAUGAUCGUUUUGUAGCAAUCUGCAACCCACUGCUCUAUUCGACCCAAAUGUCCACACAAGUCUGUGUCCAGUUGUUCUCUGUGGCUUAUGUGGGUGGUUUUCUCAAUGCUUGCUGCUUUACCUUGUGCCUUCAUUCUUUAUACUUUUGUGGACCAAAUCGGGUCAAUCAUUUUUUCUGUGAUUUUGCUCCGUUAGUUGAACUUUCCUGUUCUGAUGUCAGUGUUCCUGCAGUGGUCCCCUCAUUCUCUGCUGGCUCCAUCAUUGUGGUCACAGUGUUCGUCAUAGCUGUCUCCUAUAUCUACAUCCUCAUCACCAUUCUGAAGAUGCGCUCCACUGAGGGCCGCCACAAGGCUUUCUCCACCUGCACCUCCCACCUCACUGCAGUGACUCUGUUCUACGGGACCAUUACAUUCAUUUAUGUGAUGCCCAAGUCCAGCUACUCGACUGACCAGAACAAGGUGGUGUCUGUGUUCUACAUGGUGGUGAUUCCCAUGUUGAACCCCCUCAUCUACAGUCUUAGGAAUAAUGAGAUUAAGGGGGCUCUCAAGAGAGAACUUAGUAGGAAAAUAUUAUCUUAAUAAAAUAUUUUCUUUUGUAAAGUUUUCUAUAAUAAGAUACCAUGA